rnacentral:rRNA from 1 species
CUGGCGGGCAUGCUUAACACAUGCAAGUCGAACGGAAACGAUGCUAGCUUGCUAGCAGGCGUCGAGUGGCGGACGGGUGAGUAAUGCAUAGGAAUCUACCUAAUAGUGGGGGNCAACCUGGUGAAAACCAGGCUAAUACCGCAUAAUCCCUACGGGGCAAAGCAGGGGACCUUCGGGCCUUGCGCUAAUAGAUGAGCCUAUGUCGGAUUAGCUAGUUGGUGAGGUAAUGGCUCACCAAGGCAACGAUCCGUAGCUGGUUUGAGAGGAUGAUCAGCCACNCUGGGANUGAGACACGGCCCAGACUCCUACGGGAGGCAGCAGUGGGGAAUAUUGCACAAUGGAGGAAACUCUGAUGCAGCAAUGCCGCGUGUGUGAAGAAGGCCUUAGGGUUGUAAAGCACUUUCAGUAGGGAGGAAAAGUUUAAGGUUAAUAACCUUAGGCCCUGACGUUACCUACAGAAGAAGCACCGGCUAACUCCGUGCCAGCAGCCGCGGUAAUAC